AGUGGCGGACGGGUGAGUAACGCGUGAGAAUCUGCCUUGGGGUCGGGGACAACCACUGGAAACGGUGGCUAAUACCGGAUAAGCCGAUUGGUGAAAGAUUUAUUGCCCGAAGAGGAGCUCGCGUCUGAUUAGCUAGUUGGUGAGGUAAGAGCUCACCAAGGCAGCGAUCAGUAGCUGGUCUGAGAGGACGAUCAGCCACACUGGGACUGAGACACGGCCCAGACUCCUACGGGAGGCAGCAGUGGGGAAUUUUCCGCAAUGGGCGAAAGCCUGACGGAGCAAGACCGCGUGAGGGAGGAAGGCUCUUGGGUUGUAAACCUCUUUUCUCAGGGAAGAAGCUCUGACGGUACCUGAGGAAUCAGCCUCGGCUAACUCCGUGCCAACAGCCGCGGUAAUACGGAGGAGGCAAGCGUUAUCCGGAAUUAUUGGGCGUAAAGCGUCCGCAGGUGGCGAUUCAAGUCUGCUGUCAAAGCACGGGGCUUUACUCCGUAAAGGCAGUGGAAACUGAAUAGCUAGAGUGCCGUAGGGGUAGAGGGAAUUCCCGGUGUAGCGGUGAAAUGCGUAGAGAUCGGGAAGAACAUCGGUGGCGAAAGCGCUCUACUGGACGGCAACUGACACUCAGGGACGAAAGCUAGGGGAGCGAAUGGGAUUAGAUACCCC
rnacentral:rRNA from 1 species